GUGCUCAUUUUGGCAGCACAUAUACUAAAAUUGGAAUGAUACAGAGAAGAUUGGCAUGGUCCCUGCACAAGGAUGACAUGCAAAUUCGUGAAGUGUUCCACAUUUUU
rnacentral:snRNA from 1 species